UACGGCCAUAUUAGGUUGAAACACCGGUUCCCGUACGAUUACCAAAGUUAAGUAAAGUCAAGCAUGGAUGGAUGGGUGAUCACUUGGGAAUACCAAGUGUUGUAA